rnacentral:rRNA from 1 species
CCUACGGGGGGCAGCAGUGGGGAAUCUUCCGCAAUGGGCGCAAGCCUGACGGAGCAACGCCGCGUGAGUGAAGAAGGUCUUCGGAUCGUAAAGCUCUGUUGACGGGGACGAACGUGCGUGAUGCGAACAGUGUCAUGCAAUGACGGUACCUGUCGAGGAAGCCACGGCUAACUACGUGCCAGCAGCCGCGGUAAUACGUAGGUGGCGAGCGUUGUCCGGAAUCAUUGGGCGUAAAGGGAGCGCAGGCGGGCAAGUAAGUCUUUCUUAAAAGUGCGGGGCUCAACCCCGUGAUGGGAAAGAAACUACAUGUCUUGAGUACAGGAGAGGAAAGCGGAAUUCCCAGUGUAGCGGUGAAAUGCGUAGAUAUUGGGAGGAACACCAGUGGCGAAGGCGGCUUUCUGGACUGCAACUGACGCUGAGGCUCGAAAGCCAGGGGAGCGAACGGGAUUAGAUACCCUGGUAGUC